rnacentral:rRNA from 1 species
GUUGGUGGUUCGAGCUGUCUGGUUUAUUCCGUUAACGAACGAGACCUUCGCCAGCUAAAUAGUUCUUUGUUCUUGUUACAAAGAAUCUUCUUAGCGGGACUUUGUGCGUCUCAGCACAAUGAAGGGAAGGCAAUAACAGG